GGCUAUGGUGGUGUCUUGAAGGAUUCACUAAGGCCUCAUGCACAUGACAGUGAAUAAUGGCCGUGUGACAGGCGUUUAAGUAACGGCCGUCACACAGCCAUUUUUAGCACCAAUGAAAGACUAUGGGGCUAUUCACAUGGC